rnacentral:rRNA from 1 species
AUACGGAGGGUGCAAGCGUUACUCGGAAUCACUGGGCGUAAAGCGCGCGUAGGCGGAUAUUUAAGUCUCAUGUGAAAGCCCUGGGCUCAACCUGGGAACUGCAUGGGAUACUGGGUAUCUAGAAUACAGUAGAGGGUAGUGGAAUUUCAGGUGUAGCGGUGAAAUGCGUAGAGAUCUGAAGGAACAUCAGUGGCGAAGGCGACUACCUGGACUGAUAUUGACGCUGAGGUGCGAAAGCGUGGGGAGCAAACGGGAUUAGAAACCCUAGUAGUCC